CUGGCAGGGGCUCUGAGCUCUCCCUGGAGCCUUCUCUUCUCCAGGUGAGCACCCCCAGCUCUGCCAGCCUGGCUCCGACCACUGCCCAUCCCAAACCAGCCCCAGCUGAACAUCCAGCUCCAGCCUUUUUCCACUUUGGAGAUAUUUCACCACAUUGGUGGGGUUUGCACCAGUUUUUCCCGCAGCCCAGGUGAAAGCAGCUCUCUGUCAGCAGAGCUCCACAUCCAUAUUCAGCAGAGCUGGAGUUUUACAGCAUUCCCAGCAUCCUGGUUUCUUGUAAAAGGAAAUCGAAUCUGGCUGCAAUGGUGCAAGCAAUAAUGUCUAUUUCUAAAAAGCAAUUAAGGAUGAUUUUUUUUUUCUUAGCCAGCUCUAAUUGACGUCAAAGGACAACCAUUUUAAUGGGAUGUCGGGAAACAUGAGAAACUUUUUUCUUCCUUAAAAGCCCUGAUUCUGAAGAUACAAAUGUACCUGGACCUAACCUAACUUUCAAUAAGGGAAUAAACCAAUUUCUGUGGCUUGAAACAUAACAUGAAUUAAUUAGUAUUUCUUUGCAGCAAUGCUUUGCUCUGCAUUUAAUAUUUUCCCUGGAUGCAGUUUUGUGGAGAUUCCCAAUCCAAAAACUGAAAGGUGAUCCUGGUUGAGGGAAAAGGAGAGAGGACAAUAGCAUGAUAAUGUGAUAGCACCUUGGUUUGUGCCUGUACUCCAUCAGUUCUUCAAGUGGCAAUUUCUCACUAUAAAUUUGUUUUGAAUAAUUGUUGUCCUUACCCUGAAUUGCAUAUUUUCCCUGGACACAGUUUGGGGAAGUUUCUCAACCCAAAAACUGAAUGAUGGUGGGAGCUGGAGGAACAGAAGUUAGGACAAUGACACUGCUAUUUUUUUUUUGUUUUGUUUUGGUCAGCCCUAUCAGGCAGCUCAGCUGGGACCUUGUUGUAUUCUAUGGACACCUUACAAGAGUCAGAUCUAAAAUGACAAAUUAUAUGACAUUUAAAUACAUUUAAAUUCUUGCAGUCACUCAGGCUGAUGUGGCAGUGACCCUGCAAAGAGCAAUCACCUCCUAGUUCUCCACCAAACUAUCCGGCUACUGGGGGUGAAAUUAUUUGUCCUGAAUAUGCAGAGGUUUGUAGAGACACUUGAGAAAUGACAAAGAUUUGAUCUUGUCGUGUUUUUCAGGCUGGAGCAUGGUGCUUUGAAGUAGUUUGUUGGGUCCUUGUUUGCUGAGCUCAUUUGCAUAAAUUUUAAAUCAAACUUCUCAAAACGCGCCCUUCUCGUGGAUGUCAGAGUUUGUGCUCAACUCACAUCUCCCGAGCUUUAUGUCACACUAUUGACUCAGUGCAGUUAAUUAAUAAUGGAAUGUAAAUCUCUGCUAGGAAGCGCUGAAGAUUGUUAGCAGUGUAAAAAUGUUUGUUAAUGCUCUUCCUAAAAUAUUAUUCAAGUCUGCCGCUUCUUUCUUUUCGGAGCAAGUUCUAAUUAUUCUUUUACAAGAUUCAUGGCAUACACAGAGUGAGGAAUUGUAAUUCCCUCAUGUAAAGAUUAGUUCUUUCAUAUGAAUAACAGGCUUGGGCUACAGUUCUUAAGCAAUAUCCACGCUGUUUUCCCUUAAUAGAAAUUUUGUUUGAAUAGAAUUGGGAUGUGCAGGUAAAAAUCAUGGUUUUUUUCCCAGUGAAUGGAUGUUUCAUGACAUCCCCAAACACACAGAGAUUUUAGUGUUUUAUUUGGACAUUCUAAACUGGUUUUUUUUCUCUUUGGGUUAUGCCUAGUUCCCCAUCAGUUCUUCAAGGGAUAAUUUCUCACAGUAAAUUACCUUUGAAUAAUUUUUGUCAUUUAAUUAUCUAUUCAAUGUGGAGAUGAGCACUUAUGGUCACAAAGAAUAAAAGUAUACAAUCCAGGAGCAGAAGAGGUCAAGAUUUACAGUCACUUGCCUUUCACUGAUCCCAUAAAACAAUCCAAGCAUGCAGAAAUGAUGAUCCCAUAAGAGACACCAGGGCAGAAGAAUGAGAAUGCAGCAUGAAAUCCAUCAGACUUAUUGAUAUCUGUGAAGCUGAGGAUCCCUGAAGUUGUGAAUAUAGAAAUCAGCUCUUUUUGGUGUGAUUCAGGAAGUCAGCACCCAAGGAUGCCCCGAGGCUGGGAAGGAGCUGGUGCUGCUCCACCUCAGCCAAGGAGGGAUGGCCCAGGGGACCGGCACAUCCCGAGAGCAUCACUGCCCUGCCAGCUGCUUCCUCACACCUCCAGAGGCCUGGAGGUCUUUCUCUUCCUUGGGAGAUCAUGGAAUUCUGUGUUUGGUGAGCUCUGCUGGGCCUUCAGAGCAGCCUGUGGAGGAAACCUGAGCUGAGCACCAGAUAUAGCCAAGAUUCUGCGCUGCAUUUGGUUUGAAAAUUGUCAGGAGGGCAGGUGAUACUCUUAUCUCCUGGAACUUGGUAUUUCCAGGUGGAUCAGAUGAACCCUUGCUUCAACCCAAUGGAACCAGAGGGUUAAAGAGUGGGACUACUGUUAAAAAGAAAUACCAAAGGAAAACAAUAGGUAGAUACUAAACAUUUGGUUAUGGAAAAGUAGAUUGAAGCUUUAUAAACUUCAGGAUCUGCAAAGAAGGAAAAAGUCUCACCUGGCCUUGGCUAAGACAAGGAUAGCUGCAGCAAAGCUGAAAAAAUUAAAAAUAAAGUAGCAUGAAGGGCAAUUUUUUGAAAAACAGAGGGUUUAUUCUAUAUUCCUUAUCUAUGUAUUUCCCUAUCUAUUACCCUGUAUUUCCUUGUAUUUACUUUAAGAGAAGCAGCAAGCACUGAGAAGAAAGAGCCUCUCCUAGAAUAGGGACUCAGCAAAAAUAUAUUAUAUGUCCUCAAAAAUAACUCUGCAAAGUCACAGAACAUAAUUGUUUUUCCAUUUCAGAUAUAACAAUUUCUUUUCUUUGUAUUUUUUUCUAUUUAAAUACCGGUCCAUGAGAGAAGAUGUUCAACAAACCAUCAGUGCUCAAAUAACAUUGGUUGAGCUAGCUGAUUUAAGAUUUUAAUGUUAAUUAAACCUCAUUGGUUACAAGCUGGAAUAAUUGCAGUGCACAGUGAAUAAAUGUGGCUUGCUCUGAAAGAGAGGCAUCAACCUUUGGGCACCCCUGCCCCCCAAAAAGAAGGGAAAUGCAACAAUUUAAACAAAUCAGCCUCAAAAUUGGUCCUGCUGGGUGUUGAGGUGGAGAUUUUGCACCAGCCCCCCUGAAAUGCAGGCAGAGGUUUUACCCCUCAAAUCACAAGCAAGGUCAUGAGUUAAAUAAUUAGCUCCAAAAUCCAGCCAAUAAUCAAAUUUAUUGCAAGGCUUUUGCAUCACAUCCCCAAAAGAAGCUCGGGGGGUGGUGCCAGCUGCCCUGUGGGGAUGGGCACCCCCAGCCCCUUGCUCCUUGUGUCCCCAGGCUUUUUUGUGGCAUCCCUUCCCCUAAGGGAAAUCCUGGUGCUGGGAGAGUGGGUGAAUUCUAAAGGCACUAAAAACAUAUUUUGGUCCUUCUGAAGGUCAGAUAAUUUCAUCUGCAUCUUCAGGAUGGUGCUGAUGAAGGCUGGAAGGAUCUUAAGAGCUGCUCUCAGGGUGGUUUUUCCUUCAAUUUUGCUCUGCGAGUCAAGAUCCCGUCCCUGUUUUCCCACCUGCCUUGUGAAACCCCCGUUAUCCGAACCCAAACACAGGCACACACACUUCACACAUUAAAUAUCUGUAAAAUAACUGGUGUUCUCUGAGGAGAGCCUCUUCCUGUGCCACAAACACUUCAAAGGCUUCAAAGCAGAGGUGCCUGCAGCGAGGGCUGAAGCUGAGAGCACAAGUGCCUGUUUCAGCUGACACCAGAGGUUUCAGGCUCUUAGGGCAUAAAGCAUUUUUCACUCUGUUUAAAUUAAUUUAAUUGGAAAAAAAAAAUUGAAGGAGAAAUAAGACAUUUUUGAAGGUGGGGGUUUUUUGUGUGCGUGUGAUUUUUUUUUUUUAAGUGGAAAAUGCAGUUUUGAGAUUAAACCUACCUUUAAGUAGAUAUUUUAAAUGAAAAUAUCUUCAGUGUUUAAGGAGGGACUGCAGAGACCUUCUGUUUGCAGCCAUCUUAGAGGGGUGUUUUUGCUUUCUCUUGUUUUGCUGCUGCUCAGAGGAUGUUCCAGCUCCAGGGUGAGCAGCAGCUCCAGGCUUUCCUUCUGCUGCCCCUUCUCAGACUUAAUGCAUUGGUUCUGCAGGCAAAAAAAGAGACAUUUUCAGUAUUCCAGAAGCCAAAAGGCUGUCUGCUGGAUGGGGGGAUUUGCUGUAGGUCCCAGGCAGGAGAUGCAAAUCCAGUUUUAUACUGGGAAUGCAGCACUCUGUGCCCAGCACCUCCUGCACUCCUGCCCAGGGAAGGGCAACGGAGAGAGGACAUUCUGCUUGUAUUUUUUUACAAUUUUUAUUUUUUAAAAUGAAAAUGCCAAAAGAGUGGAAAUACCUUCGUUUUGAUAGUCACGGCAUGGGAAUCUUCUUAAAUUUUUGAAUUUAUUUGUUUAGCUGCUCACCCGAGGUAGCCCCACACUCUCAAUGCUUCAGCAAAGAACAAACCAGGUUUGGGAGCAUUUUCUGGGGCUUGCUGGUGUUUCCAGGUUGUUGCAAGGAUGUCAGUGGGGUUUGGAUGCUUUGUAGUGGGACAAAGAUCUUCUUAGGACACAUGGCUGCUCGAGGAGCUCAGGCAGGGCAGAGCAUUCCCUGGAGUAGCCAAAAGUAGCUCUUAAAAAUGGAGAUGGUCUAUGCCAUCUCAUUAAUUUAAAAUAAAAAUGUAUAUAUAUAUAGAUAUAUAUAUACACAUAUAUAAAUAUAUAUUAUAUAUAUAAAUAUAAGAAAAUAUAUAUUAUAUAAAAAUAUAAAAAUGCACACAUAAAAAAUUAAAAAUUUAUUGAUUUAAAUAAAAAUAUACUCAUUAAUACAAUAAGGAGAAUAAUUUAAAUGUUGUAGGAACGAGUGUGUGAGUGCAAGUACCCCCCUGACCCAGUCCAGGGCUGCAUUCCAUGAUAUCCAGCACAGAGAAACAGGGAUUUCAGCCCAGCUUUCCUGCUUCUCCCCACCUGCCCAGCACCACAUUCCCUGUGAUUCCCUGUGCCCUCCUUUUAGACCCAACCUUUUCUUAGGGAAAAUCACUGGAGCGUCACGGCCGCAUUGAUUUAAUUGAUUGAGGCUCUGCCCAGAACCUCAGCUCCACUCCCAGGCAAUGCUAAUCAGAGCCAAAGAUAACAGCAGAAGGAAUGAAAAGAUUUCUUCCCCAGGACUCCAAAGUGCCUUUGGAAAAGAGGGAAUUACGACAAUGUGUUUUCUCUCUGCUGCCCUGGGUUUGCCAGCGGGUGCCCAGCGCAGCCUCUGAGGGUCCCUCUGGAUCAGCUCGGCUGCAGGGAGGCUGCUGGAGUUCCAGUAGGAGCAGCCAGGCUGCCAUGGGUUUGGGAUUUUAUCCACCAAAUUUUAUUAUUUUUAUCCAGCUCUACUGUGGAAAAUCACAGCUGGGUCACCAGCCAAGGCAGUGACUGAAAUUAGCAGGAAAGACAUAAAACCUCAUGGUUUAGGGGACUUUGUUCUUUCCUUCAACAAAACUUGAGCGUUUCCCAGUGUGUGAUGAUGACAUUAUCCAUUACAAAUGGAUAUCCAGGAUAAAUGGACCCAUAAAAUCAGGGGAAAGCAGGGCUGCUGCAGCAAGCCUUGAUAACACCCUGAAUAAUUCACCCUCUUGCAGCAGCUCCUCAGCCCAGAGCCACCGACUUCCCCACAGGGUCCCUGUUUCCACCCCAUUAACGAGCGAGGCACAGAUGGGUUUGGUCUUCUAAACUCAAAUCAGAAUAAAGAAUCUCUUUUUGCUCCCUCCUUGCUGAGGUGUCCUGAGGUGUAUUUUGAAUUUGGGCCAAAAAAAAUCAUUACCUUGGAGUUGCCUGAUGCUGCUUCAUCUUGGCUUGAGCCAGGAGGGCACGGCCUCAGCUUGACCUUCUGCAGUCCCUGUUUUGGCGUGAGGAAAUACACAAGGAAUUUUCAGAGAAUGCAGAAUUCCAUCCAGUCAUGGAAUCGUUUAGGUUUAGAAAACCCUCCAAGAUCAUUGUGACCAACCAUCUCCCAGAACUGCCAAGGCCACCACUACCCCAUGUCCCCAAAAGCCACAUCCACGUGGAUUUUGAACCCCUCCAGGGAUGGGGACUCCAGCACUUCCCCAGGGAAUUCCAAAGCUUCUCCCUACAUCUUUUGGACACAACCAAAGCAGAGCUGAGAAUGGUCAAGGGCAAUUUGGCCAUCAUUUCUCCAUGGGCAUGGGAGGGGUGGGGGGCUGCCCUUAGGAUGGGUAAUCUGGGAGCAGACUGAGUGGAAACAGAUCCUGUGCCUUUCUUUACCUGGAUGUGCUUCUGCCCUAAAUGAAAUGCAGGAGUAAAACUCAGGGCAGAAGCUGAAUCACUCUCACUUAAUUUAGCGGCGAAAUCACAGGCAAGGCACUACAGUACUUGCUGAAGGGUGCAGUGAUUUCUAAUUAUGGAUUAUGCAGCUAAUCAGUACCAAUCAACAUUUUAUGAUCUUGACUUAAUAUUUAAUAUAAUGUUAAUUAUAAUUGCUUUUGCCACAAACUGUGUCAAAUCCUAGGUGUGAUUUUCCCUCCUGGUGUUCCUCGCGGUGCUGGGUGGGCUCUGGGAUGGGGGGCUGAGCAUCCCUUCCCAAAAUCCCACCCAGCAGAACAGACCCACCUCCCUGCUCCCUCUGCCUUGAGUUGUGAUGCUAAUUAAGUGCUGGUGAGUCUCAGCGUUAUUAGAAUGGAGUUUUUAUCUCACACAAGUACCUUCCAGCUACAAACAGGGGAAGUUCAUUUAAUUAAAAAUAAUUUUAGUGUAACUUAAUGUGAACACAGUUCAAUUACUCUGAAAUAUGUUUAAUUUCUUUUCCUUUUUUUUUUUUCUUUCAAAGUCUACCAAGAGGCUGUAGAAAAAAACUCCAAAAACUCCAACUAACAUCAGAUAAUCCAGAUGAUGCAUUCAGGCCAUUUCUGUGUAUUUAGACAGUGGCCAAAAUGUCAUUACAAACAGGAGCAGAAAUGUGCAACAGUGGCAAAGUCACAUUCACGGCACAGGCACCGUUCCUGUGAUUGUUUAUUGAGCAUCCUCAGGGUUUCUGUCCUUAAGUGUCUUUGUGCCUUCUCAAAGUGCUUUUGCCAGCUCUCACCUGAUGUCUGUGUAUGACAACUCCAAAGUCCUCAGCUCUGCUGUGCACAAACCACCCGGGACCUUCUUCACAGGCCUGGUGGUUUUUGAUCUAAUUUAAACUUUAUUUUAAAAAAGAACCCCAAAAAAGUAAAACCAAAGGAAAUCCAGAAAGUUUAAGGAUAUAAUUACCACUCAGGCAAUUUUUUAAUAUCCUAAAUGCUCUGUGUGAACAUCAGCAGGAUGCUGCUGGCCCACACACCUUAUUUAAUUCACCUGCAUAUUCCCAAAACCCAUUUCCAGCUGGGCUUGGGAUCUGCUCCCCCACCUCAUCUUGUCCUGGAGUCCCCCCUGAGCAUGAGCUGGGGUUUCCUUUUGCAAUUAAUAAUUUAUUGACUUUUUUUUUGCUUUCACAGCAUUCAGUGGAGCUACAGCCCAGUGUCAGCAUCUGGAGCUGCUGGUUUUGCCCCACCAGCACUACCAGGGGCUGCACAGGGAAAGGAAGGAGUCCUGGGAAUUAACAGGGGGACAAAAGGGGCCAUGAACACAUGAGCCCCCAAAAAUCAGCUGCUGGGACAUUUAAUCCAAACCCCCAGAGCCGGCACAUCCUGGGGGGGUUCAGCACCGACCAAGAAGCUCUUGGAAGUUUUUCUUGAAUCUUUAUGGCAUAAACACCCCUGGAAGAAAAUCUGUCUUAAAAAAAACCAAAUAAAAUAAGGAGAACAAGCAACCCCAGGCUGGUUCCUGCAGAGACAGACCUUGGGCAACAGCUGCAGCCCAAAGGCUCUGGUGGGUGAAACCCUUCCUGUCCACCCCUCCCAAAGCCUUUCACUGAAUUUGACCUCCCUGAUUUGGGAAAACAAAGCACCAGACAGGAGAAAAGGUCCUUAGAGUUAAUAACAAAGCCUAUUGACUUUCAAAUGCAAUCUUGUGGGGUUUUUAUACAAAUUUGUUGUGUUGCAUCUUGUUUCCUUUCUCUCAGCACCCAUUAACUUCAGGGACUAUUACCAUAAAGGAAAUUAAUUCCACCCCCACAAACACAUGGAAACUCCUCCCAUCAGGGUACUUUAACAUCACUUAGGUGCUGAUGGGAAGUGAUUAUCCCACCAUAACACCACUGGUGCCACUACAGCAGGUGAAGUCCUUCCGUCCAUUAAAGAUCCUAUAAACUCUUGGUACAGGUGAAGUUACAUGGGAAGUCCUAUUCCCAGGAAAGGUUAAUUAAAACCUGUAAUUCUGGUAUGAGCUGGAUGAGGGGGAGGUCAGGCAUGAAAUUCUCCCAGGACAGCCCCUUAUUCUCCACUUAAAUAAGAAUUAAGUUCCCAAAAGGACUCAGAAGCCCAGCCCAACUUCUCCUUUGGCAAAGGAGUAUUUAUCAAAACCCAAUGCUUCUGUCUGUACAGUAGAGACUUAAAAUAUCCUUGUAAAACCCUGCUCAAGAGCUGCAGCCCAGCCUGGUGACCUGCUGGGACAGAGCAAGGGGAUGGCGUGUUUGUAAUGCCAUGGGUAAUAAUUCCUGAGGUUGAAUGGACAAUCUGGGGAGAGGGGAUCUUUCCUCCCUUGAGGAGUACAACCUAAAGGCACCCAAAUCAGCCCUCCCUGCUCAUUGAGGGGGGUUGGACUGGAUGACCUUCAAAAGGUCCCCUCCAGCUCAAAUUCCACAAUUCUACAUUCCCAGAAUGAAUUUUCAAAAGCAAAUGGAGUGGUGGUCCCACCACCCACCUGUCCAACCCCAUCAAGAGAAGCCCUGCACAGAGAGAGCUGGAGGAAGGGGCUUUGUCUGAGCAGCUCUAAGGGGUUCAUCUGUCUGCUGGAAUUAGGCAAUUAGCAGAGAGAGCUAACGAACCUCAGAGACAAACAGCUGAGUGUCCCUUCUAACACCUCCUCCCUCAAGCAGCUGCUGUGAGGAAGGUGGGCUCUGAGACCACCACCAUGUGGGAGCUGCUUCACUGGGAAGGAUCACAUUCUUUAUUUAUUUCUGCAGCGUGAGGAAUGAAGGGGAAGGUUAUAACCACCUCAGAAAUAUCUCCACACACAGCCCCUUGUGCACGUAUUUAAUAGAAAACAGAGGCAUUGGAGGAGACCACCAAGCUCCAAGCUCAGUUUUUGCCACCUUCCCUGUGUGCUGGUGGUGAGGGAAUGUGCAGUGCCUGUGAUAAAGGCAGCAGUGGGGUAGAACCAUCAGUGCUACCUAAAAGCAAAUGAAACUGGCAUAAAUAAUUGUGCUGUAGAAAGCCUUUCUGUUGCACCUUGCCUAUCACUGACAAUUUACAUAUCUUAGGAAAACCUUUGUCAGCUUCUGUCAUUUCUGCACUAUUAUGUGCCUUUCUGGAUAAUUACCAGUUAAUGUGAAAAAGCAGAUGGAAAAAACCUUGAAAUUUCUGAUAGAGAAUCCUCAAACCUCUCCCCUUAUCUGUGCACAGCAGCUUCCUGAUUUCAAAAGAAGUUUGAAAACCUUUGUUAAAAAUGUCCCUGAUUCCCAGUUUGAAUGAACCAAAUGACAUUCAGCUAAAAUUAUUCAGCUUUUUCCACAAUUAAAUUCCAUUAUCGUGAACUGCCAAAGUAAAAUGGAAGGUCUCUUAA